rnacentral:rRNA from 1 species
UGGCGAACGGGUGAGUAACACGUGGGUGAUCUGCCCUGCACUUCGGGAUAAGCCUGGGAAACUGGGUCUAAUACCGGAUAGGAGCCAUUUUUAGUGUGAUGGUUGGAAAGUUUUUUCGGUGUAGGAUGAGCUCGCGGCCUAUCAGCUUGUUGGUGGGGUAAUGGCCUACCAAGGCGGCGACGGGCAGCCGGCCUGAGAGGGUGGACGGCCACAUUGGGACUGAGAUACGGCCCAG